UUAAAAGAUAAGAUUACAGUGAGAGAAGAGAUAAGAUAACAGAGAGAAGAGAAACUGAGAGAUACGGUCAUGGCCUCAGCCGAUUGUAAGCAGGCCCUGGCCUCCGACCGACCGAUCUAACAGCGCCGCUGAACGACGACGGCGGCUAGGGUUACCAGAAUGUCUGCAGGAGUCGGAAGUUUUCUGCAGAGGGGAUUUGGUUCGACACGGCAGCGGCGACGGUGGAGUUUAGGGUUCCGAUGACCCUUUUAGUACUCCGACGAGAAGCUCCAAGCCUAAAUGUCAUUUUCUCAGCUGCAAGUUAGGCGACACACAACCCUCCGACGAAGAUCCGACGAAGUUCAGGUAAUCCCUCUUUACCUGCAUGUUCUGCUUUUACAAGAAUUGACAACCUGAUUAGGUCGGGGGUUUGUCACAGUAUUGUAGAUUAGAGCAAAUGGAUGAUAUCGAUUCAUAGUUUUGUAAAAUUUGUGAUGCAAUUUAGGAGUUAAGUAUAGAAGAGGGUGGGCGGUUACCGGAGGGUCACCACCGUGACUCUGACUCUGCCACCAUGGUGUUUUGUGUUGCUCUUUCUUGCCGUUUUGGUGAAAGUGAAACCAUGUGAAAACGAGCAUUGUCUAAACUCUCAUCUCUCCGAUCUAUCUUCAUACCUAAUUGAAUCGUUAAUUACAUGUACCCCAUCGCCGAUGACUCUUUCUCCAUUAGCAUUGGAAACCAUCGUCACUCAUCAUUUUCUCGGGUACUCCUUAUCGCCUCAGAUCUGUAAUUAUUCGUAAUUAAUUCGUAUAUCCGAGAUGUGUAUUUCGUCUGUUUGUGAUAUUGUUCGGUGAUUUGUGGUUUUGAAUGUUUGUCUGGUGUACCGAAGUUGUGUAUAUCCUAUUUUUGUACAGGGCAUGAUCUGUAGUUUUAUGGUUAAUUUCUAUUUUUUAUACAACUAGGGUACUGUGUAUGGAAAAUAUAAUUUUUAAUACUUUCAACUGCAAUGGUUAGCCUGCACCAAUUGUUUCUUGUUAAUAUUAAUAAAGGGAUGCAAUGAACAGUAAAUGAACAGUAAACCUCAGGGGCUAUUUAAGGCAAAUAAAAAAAUCCACCGCUUCCCAUCCCAUCCUGGCCGUAGAAAGAGAUACAGAGAGAGUGCGCGACGGAGGCGAGAGAGAGGUGACGGAGGGAGAGAGAGGGCGACGGAGGCAGAGUAAGAUAGAGAAAGGCGCGGUGGUGAUGGAGGCACCGGCUAUGGUAUCUGGCCGACGGUAAUGUUGUAGGGUUCCGGCGGCGGUACCGGUGACUCUAAUCGGUCGAUUCUGGAGAUGGAAUGGGAGAUUUGAAGGUGAUCUUCAACAACCACAACCUCAGAGACUUGAAUCGUGUUUCAGCAACAAUUUCAGUAAGCAUUUUUGGUCUGCAUGUCUCCAUUUAUUGGGUAGAUGGCUCAUAUAGUAAUGAUUGGAACCAUUGUAAAUUGAGGAAGGCAUGUCAAAAUUCACUGGUUGAAGCCUUGCAAAAGAUCCAAGAAGGUUUGUUGGUAGGAGACCGGACAUAUGUUGAGCUCUAUGAAGACCCAUAUGUUGAAGUCGAACCCAUUGUUAGACUGGUUUAUAACCCACAAUUAUGGGAGCAUAACUUAAAAAGAUGAAGAAAUGGAUGCAUCUGUAGCUUUCGGACCACUCACAAUCCUCACAUGUCGGCUUUACGGCGUGCUCUUUUUCUGUUUCCAAUUUUGGAUGUUCAGGUUUGUUCUUCGAUUUUGAGCUUUACGGCGUGAAUUUGAUUUUAUUAUUGGGUUUCUAUAUGAUUUUGACUUCAAUUGCAUGGUUUUGCUGGAAUGGAUUUGUAAUUUAGCCUCAGAUUGAUAAUUUUUUUUGUUCUUUACUCAUCUUUUUUUUUUUAUCUUAUUGGUGUUCUAUUUGUUAUAUUAGGGUUCCAGCGAACUGAUUCAAGGUGUGUGUAUGUAAUCUGAGUAGAUCAGUCUUACCUAGGACAACUGAGAGACACUAUGUGAGUCAUUUAUGACUUUAUAUCCUCCCGAUCAGAAUUCCGGCAAGCCCCUUUGGGCUUGCAUGUUUAGUAAACAGGAUGUGAGUUAAACUGUUGCUGGAAAUUAGAAGAAAAGCUUCCAGAGUAAAGUGUGUGUAUGUACUGUAUGCGACACCAAGAAGGGAGAAGGAGAGUUUGAUUUUCAUCUCUAAAAAAUUAAUUAACAAAGAAUGAAAUUAAUAGAUUAGGGUUCUUUUGUUAAAUUUGGGGAUUUUUAAAAUACACCAGAUUGUUGUGUUAACCAUGAAAAUAUGAGCUUAAAACAAUACCAUAUUGGUAAAUUAAAUCAAGUUUGGUGUAAAAGAACUAAUUAGAGAUGAAUAUGUUUAUAUGUUUUUUAAGAGGAUGCUAAGAUACAACCGAAUGCUUAAUUCCAUGACACAUGUGUACAAAGAAUGAUGAUUGUAAAUAAAUUGGUUUAUAAUAUAGUGUGUUUUGAUCUUUAAGAUCAUAUAUAGUGUGUUUGGGUAAUUUUAACCCGCUUCAAGUGUGUUUUGAUCUUUAAGAUACUGUGUUUGGGUAAUUUUGACCCGCUUCAAGUGUGUUUUGAUCUUUAUGAUCAUCUAUAGUGUGCCUGGGUAAUUUUGACCCGCUUAAAGUUUGUUUUGAUCUUUAAGAUCAUCUAUAGUGUGUUUGGGUAAUUUUGAAGAAACCAUUUGCUCCCUGAACUUUGCAAGUCGUGCGAGAGUUGUUAAGCAUGGGCCUGAGCGCAAACAAACAGAAAUCACUGAGCUCCUCAAGUAUAAGCAGCUGGCAGAGAAAGCAAAGCAUGGCGAGAAAGAAGCAGAAACAAUUGCAGGAAAGUUUACAAUCUGUGCAAAUAUGUCUCUCUCUGCUAGAGAAAACAAAGGUAGAACUCUGCAAGAAAAGGUACAUAAAUCGGCUUACAGGUUACUUGCCAUUAUAAUGAAAUUGUCUCCUGUAUAACAAAUAAUGGUCAAUUUUUUCAGUGGCGGUCAAAACGGGCCGGGUUUGAUCUACCUGCCAAAAAUAAAACAUUACUCUGAAUUUUUUGAAGUUCAACAAGUGAUAUUAAAAGGUUUGUAUACUUAAAUCAUGGUAGAACAUAUCCCAAGAGUCAAGGAGUCAAGUCAAAACUUACUUAACAACUAAUACAUACACUUUGUUUUUACAUAGGUAAUAUAUAUUUUUUAUUUGUUAUAAUUUUAAAUAUCAUGUUGAGUCAUGACUCAAGUCACAGGUCAAUGACUCGGGUCAUGGGUCAUGAAUUUAAAAUUUUGAGUCACGAGUCAAUAACAGUGAUUUAAAUACACCUUCGAUAGCUAUUGACAUGUUUCGAGUUAAAUCUUUUAACUUAACAAAUUACUCAUAAAACACAACUGAGAUCCACCUGUUAACAUGAAGGAUCAUGGGGCAAAUUUGAUAUAUUUGAAUUAUUGUUAUUGAUUUGUAUGCAUAGGUAUCUUUAUAUAGUGAUUACACUCUAAAUUUUAUAUCAUUCUACAGAAUUUAAUUUCUAGGUCCCAAUUAUAUGAUCAAGAUGGAAUUAAUGGGGUGUUUGGAUGUGCGUUUUGGUAGGACUGAGGUAUUAUGUGUGGCGGAUGGGUUGCUUAAUGCUUUCGGCGUAGGAGCUUUUGAAGUUGGUUUGUCAGUUUUCUAUUUGCGAGGAUUUGUGUAUGAAUGUUGUUAGCCGUGGUUGAUAAUAGAUUGAUGAUUUGGUUUUAUUAUUGCUGGCUGGUUUGGAUUUUGUUUAAAUGUAUGUAAAACCGUGGCAAUGUAUGUUUCCGUUGGGGGUGUA